rnacentral:rRNA from 1 species
UACGUAGGGUGCGAGCGUUGUCCGGAAUUAUUGGGCGUAAAGAGCUCGUAGGUGGUUUGUCGCGUUGUCCGUGAAAACUCACAACUCAAUUGUGGGCGUGCGGGCGAUACGGGCAGACUGGAGUACUGCAGGGGAGACUGGAAUUCCUGGUGUAGCGGUGGAAUGCGCAGAUAUCAGGAGGAACACCGGUGGCGAAGGCGGGUCUCUGGGCAGUAACUGACGCUGAGGAGCGAAAGCAUGGGGAGCGAACAGG